rnacentral:rRNA from 1 species
GCAUGUUGUUUAAUUCGAUAACCCACGACAAACCUUACCACUUCUUGUAUAUUAAUAAAACUUAAUACAGGUGUUGCAUGGCUGUCUUUAGUUCGUGUUGUGAAAUGUUAGGUUUAUUCCGAUAACGAACGCAAUCCUUUUCUUUAUUUAAAAAAUUAAAAUAUAAAGAUAGAUCUAUUAACAAGAUAGAGUAAUUAGGAUGAAGACAAGUCCUCAUGACCCUUAUGAAGUGGGCUACAGACGUGCCACAAAAUUUUCUACAAUAGGAUGCAAAAAUUAAAAUUGGAGCUAAUCCCUGAAAAGAUUAUUCAGUACGAAUAAGAAUCUGAAACUC